rnacentral:rRNA from 1 species
UACAGAGGGUGCAAGCGUUGUCCGGAAUUAUUGGGCGUAAAGGGCGCGUAGGCGGUGUGGCACGUCUGUUGUGAAAUCUUUGGGCUCAACCCAUAGUCUGCAGGCGAAACUGUCGGGCUUGAGUAUGGGAGAGGUGAGUGGAAUUUCCGGUGUAGCGGUGAAAUGCGUAGAUAUCGGAAGGAACACCUGUGGCGAAAGCGGCUCACUGGACCAUUACUGACGCUGAUGCACGAAAGCUAGGGGAGCAAACAGG